UGGCUCAGUUGGUAGAGCAUGGUGUUUGCAACCCAGGGUUGUGGGUUCGAUUCCCAC
rnacentral:tRNA from 1 species